UACGUAGAGGCCAAGCGUUGUCCGGAUUUAUUGGGCGUAAAGAGCUCGUAGGCGGUUGGGUAAGUCGGGUGUGAAACUCCAGGCUCAACUUGGAGAGGCCACCCGAUACUGCUCUGACUUGAGUUCGGUAGGGGAGUGGGGAAUUCCUGGUGUAGCGGUGAAAUGCGCAGAUAUCAGGAGGAACACCGGUGGCGAAGGCGCCACUCUGGGCCGAAACUGACGCUGAGGAGCGAAAGCAUGGGGAGCGAACAGG
rnacentral:rRNA from 1 species